UACGAAGGGGGCUAGCGUUGCUCGGAAUCACUGGGCGUAAAGCGCACGUAGGCGGAUCGUUAAGUCGGGGGGUGAAAUCCUGGAGCUCAACUCCAGAACUGCCUUCGAUACUGGCGAUCUUGAGUCCGGAAGAGGUGAGUGGAACUCCUAGUGUAGAGGUGGAAUUCGUAGAUAUUAGGAAGAACACCAGUGGCGAAGGCGGCAUCCUGGACCGGUAUUGACGCUGAGGCGCGAAAGCUAGGGUAGCAAACGGG
rnacentral:rRNA from 1 species